UGAUCGGUGCCAGAAAAUUUGUGACCAGUGGGACCGACUGGGAACGCUUACUCAGAAGAGGAGAGAAGCCCUAGAGGUUGUCUAGUGAAAGGAACCUCUAAAGAAAACGUGAAAAGUGGAAGAAAGAGGGAAAUGGGAAGUUGGGAGCUUUGUGCUGUAAUUUAUCCAGACAGCAGCGAAGUAUAUUUUUCAAUUUUAAAAAAUCCAGGGGUGAUGAGAUUACGGCAUAAAUCUACUUUGUAUCUGGUAGUAACAGUACGUUUCCAAAAGUCCUUCUACCUGAGUAAAUUGAGCUGUGAGUGAGUCGGGAAAUCAGAGAUGUGUAAAGGGAAGAUGGAACC
rnacentral:sRNA from 1 species